CCUGAGGUAAAAUUCUUAACCCGAGGUACUACUUCCGGGUUAGCAGAGUCUGUAACCUGAAGCGUCUGUAACCCAAGGUACCACUGUAUAGGCAAGAUGAACCUAGCUCGUAUAUCUAUAUUGGCAGUGAAAAAAGACAUGUUCUGUUUCUAGUUGCCCAGAGCCACAUGGGCCUUUCCUUUCCUCAUACGGUGUCUCCCUAAAUCAGCCUUCCUGAAUGGUUGAAGGAAGGACCUGGCAGCGGACCAGAGUGAAAGCCCUUCGCUGUUUGGGAAUUUCAAGGAACUCAAGAGUCUCUAGUCCUAGACACACUCACCUGGGAGAAAGUUUCAUUGAACACAGUGUGACCUAUUCUGGAAUUAAACCUGCAUAAAUUGUGCUGUAAAUUAGUCUGGCUCAUUCCCCUCCGUUAAUCUAUAUAUACAGACCUCAGUAGUUGUAAGAGAGUCAGCAAUUAAAACGGGGGUUAAGAAUAAACAGUGUUCUGCAGCAGUACUUUGAUGUACAGUCUCUUCAUGAGUUUAAUGUAUUAGUUUCUAGUAAGCAAAGGGGAAAGCUGCAACAAUUCAAUGAAAAAAAUGUGUUGUAAAAAAGCUACAGAGUGAGCUGUAAAUAUUAACCUUUUUAGCAGAGUUAAAUUACUAUUUAUUUGCAUAGCCUAUUUAUUGCAUUCUUCUAAAUACUGUUAGAUACUGGGGCACUGUCAACAAAUAGAGACUACUUGCAUUGUCCAUUCUACCAUCUCUAGAGUGCCCUCGUGCUGUCAACUUGCAUUAACAGUAAUAGACUAGAUUGCCCAAGCCAAGGUUAUUUGCCUAACUUCUCAGGGACCACACCUUGUACUUAUCCAACAUUAUUAGAACUGGUAUGUAUGAAAUGCUCUGAUUUACCAGGAUCACGGUUGCCAAUGUAUUCCUUUACAUAUUUCAUGCUUGUUGGCCUCUGUAUAUAUCAUUGUGUUGUGUAUUUAUGAGAGCUAAGAAGCAAUUGCUAAUAAGCAAUAAUUUAUAUGUCGAAAUGGCCAAGCAAUACGAAGGUAAAACCUGUAAAAGCAAAUGUUAAUGUUUAAACUUUUUUAAUAUUGCUUUUCAAAAUAUAAAACCAUAUUAAUUAAA